rnacentral:tRNA from 1 species
GCGGAUAUGGUAGAAAGGUAAAAUUUAUCCUUGCCAAGGAGAAGAUGAGGGUUCGAUUACCCGACAUCCGCC